GACGAACGCUGGCGGCGUGCUUAACACAUGCAAGUCGAGCGGUAAGGCCCUUUCGGGGGUACACGAGCGGCGAACGGGUGAGUAACACGUGGGUGACCUGCCCUCAGCUCUGGGAUAAGCCUGGGAAACUGGGUCUAAUACUGGAUAUGACUCCACGGUGCAUGUCGGUGGGGUGGAAAGCCUUGUGCGGCUGAGGAUCGGGCCCGCGGCCUAUCAGCUUGUUGGUGGGGUGAGGCCUACCAAGGCGACGACGGGUAGCCGGCCUGAGAGGGCGACCGGCCACACUGGGACUGAGACACGGCCCAGACUCCUACGGGAGGCAGCAGGUGGGGAAUCUUGCGCAAGUGGGCGAAAGCCUGACGCAGCGACG
rnacentral:rRNA from 1 species